AAAAUAGUAGUUAUCUGAUUGACUACUUAAUUUUUGGGUUAAUUUCAUACAGGUCCCUACAGACAUAAUGAAUAGUAGAUAUAUUAUUGUAAAGUUUAACUUUCAUGAGUUAUUCCUGUAAAAGUCCUAGUGUAUUCAGAUAUAUUCUUGCCGUUAAUACCCAUUGGAAAAAUCUAGUUAACCACAGUUAAAAUACUUAAUCAUGAUUAGUUAAUACGGUAAAAUGACAUUUUUACCCUUCUUUCUCUUCCCCUUCCUCUUCCUUUUCCUCUUCUGCUUCUUCUUCUUUAUAUCCUCAUUUUCCUCCUCCUUUUCUCCUUCUUCUUCGUCGUCGUCGUCGUCGACGAUCCGAUCAUCGUCGCCGUCGUGGUGCCCGCGUGGGCCGUUGUCACAGGCGCCUCCGACGCCAUCGGCCACGCCUUCGCCUUCCGUCUCUUCCUUAUCCUCAUUGGCUGCAACCCCUACAAGCUCCGCAAGAUCGCCGCCGCC
rnacentral:lncRNA from 1 species